AUCUGAUGCAGACCAGUUUCACCCUUCUACUCAAUCAAUGUUAAUGGGAUAUUUGCAACGGCAGAGUAGCGCAGACCUUGCGG